AUUGAACGCUGGCGGCAGGCCUAACACAUGCAAGUCGAGCGAGCGGCGGACGGGUGAGUAAUGUCUGGGAAACUGCCCGAUGGAGGGGUAUAACUACUGGAAACGGUAGCUAAUACCGCAUACCAUCAGAUGUGCCCAGAUGGGAUUAGCUAGUAGGUGGGGUAAUGGCUCACCUAGGCGACGAUCCCUAGCUGGUCUGAGAGGAUGACCAGCCACACUGGGACUGAGACACGGUCCAGACUCCUACGGGAGGCAGCAGUGGGGAAUAUUGCACAAUGGGCGAAAGCCUGAUGCAGCCAUGCCGCGUGUGUGAAGAAGGCCUUCGGGUUGUAAAGCACUUUCAGCAGGGAGGCGUUACUCGCAGAAGAAGCACCGGCUAACUCCGUGCCAGCAGCCGCGGUAAUUC
rnacentral:rRNA from 1 species